rnacentral:rRNA from 1 species
CCUACUGGCGGCAGCAGUGGGGGAUAUUGCACAAUGGGGGGAACCCUGAUGCAGCGACGCCGCGUGGGUGAAGAAGCGCCUCGGCGCGUAAAGCCCUGUCAGCAGGGAAGAAAAUGACGGUACCUGAAGACGAAGCCCCGGCUAACUACGGGCCAGCAGCCGCGGUAAUACGUAGGGGGCAAGCGUUAUCCGGAUUUACUGGGUGGAAAGGGGGCGCAGACGGCGAUGCAAGCCAGGAGUGAAAGCCCGGGGCCCAACCCCGGGACUGCUCUUGGAACUGCGUGGCUGGAGUGCAGGAGGGGCAGGCGGAAUGCCUGGUGUAGCGGUGAAAAGCGUAGAUAUCAGGAGGAACACCGGUGGUGAAGGCGGCCUGCUGGACUGCAACUGACGUUGAGGCCCGAAAGCGUGCGGAGCAAACAGGAUUAGAUACCCGAGUAGUC